GAUCAAGUGUAGUAUCUGUUCUUAUCAGUUUAAUAUCUGAUACGUCCUCUAUCCGAGGACAAUAUAUUAAAUGGAUUUUUGGAGCAGGGAGUUGGAAUAGGAGCUUGCUCCGUCCACUCCACGCAUCGACCUGGUAUUGCAGUACUUCCAGGAACGGUGCACCCCUUCGGGGGACUACAACAAUACACAACGAGAGAACAAACGGGGAUUUUCGGGAUCGAGUGCGCUGUGCGUGUUGCAAGAUACAGCUGUUCUACACCAUUACAAACUUACUUCCACAUCCGCUACGGCGUAAAUGGGGCGGUAGCGAUUAGCCGGUAGGCCCGCCCCCAUGCGCGCUACGCGUUCGAGGUUACAGGCGCUCCCACCCUUGAAGUGUGCCCACCUUCCUCGAAGCAGCGGUUGAGCCUGCAGCUUCGUCCGUAACCGCUCCAGGCUACUGCACGCACGCGCGCUGCCGACACAAGCCCGUGUGGCGGUGGCGGCGCAGCGCAGAGAUGGACCCCAGCGGCGGACAGGACCGAGGUCGCAGUGCCAGGGACGCGCGGGGGCAGUGGGCGUGAGAGACGACGUGGCACAGGUACGCAGGGCAGCCCUUGGACGCCGCCUGAGGUAGGACAGGGGCCAGUAAGUUACCUUGCGGACGGCAGAGCGGAGGCACUCUGAUGAGAAGGUACCUCUUCCCCCUCAGAGGAGGUGGACGGAGGUCCCUGCGGAGGAGCUGAGCCUUCUCCACAACGAACGUUUAAAAGAAAACAGUACUGACCACACUGCCUGCGUCGAGGAAGAAAAUAGACUGCUGCCAGGAAAAAGGAACGCGUCUGUCGGUCUACGUCGGCCAUAGGUCGACAGAGCCUACCGCACGUUGGCAACGGCAAAAGGGAAAGGUGCUCCUACAGCUUCCUUUUGCCUCUUCCCCGCGCCGCUGCCUCGGCAACUGUAGGGGUUCUUGGGAAAAAACCAGGAUGCAGUGCCUGGAGUGCCACGUGUUGGCCGAGAACGCAGGCUCCAGAAGCCAACCCGCUCUUUCUUUUUCCUUUCUGAAACAGUGCACAAAAACAUUGAUCAGCGGACUUACCCGCAUCCCAAACUCCCCGAAGUGACACAAAAAGUAAGAAAAACAGUUUCUGCACCCAUGUGCUAAAACUGAGAAAUUACAACGUGGAAGCCAGUAUCUGCUUUUCACACAGUGGUUUUAAUCCCCUGAAGGGGAAGU